CUUGGUGAUGACUUUGACGCGAGAUUUGGUCUCACUCUCACCUAUGUCUUGAACCGGCGGAUGUUGCUCGUACGUCCGCGAGCAAGUAACCACCACCCUUGACCAGUUGUCCCUUCAGAGCCAGCACACCGCCGCCUAUCGCCUUGAGAGCUUGAAACACUGUGCUAAAAAUCGUCUUCUUGAAGUCCCAAGCACCGAAGGGCUUCUCUUCGUACUGGAGAAAUAAUGCGACUGAGAUGUUAGAGCGUCUUUGCAGUACUAUAUCACAUGGCCUCAAUUAUCUUCUCCCCCCGGAAACAUCUGUUCAUUCUUUGAACGAAGGAAAGGAAG